AUUGAACGCUGGCGGGAUGCUUUACACAUGCAAGUCGAACGGCAGCACGGACUUCGGUCUGGUGGCGAGUGGCGAACGGGUGAGUAAUGUAUCGGAACGUGCCCAGUCGUGGGGGAUAACGUAGUGAAAAUUACGCUAAUACCGCAUACGAUCUAUGGAUGAAAGCGGGGGAUCGCAAGACCUCGCGCGAUUGUAGCGGCCGAUAUCAGAUUAGGUAGUUGGUGGGGUAAAGGCCCACCAAGCCAACGAUCUGUAGCUGGUCUGAGAGGACGACCAGCCACACUGGAACUUAGACACGGUCCAGACUCCUACGGGAGGCAGCAGGGGGGAAUUUUGGACAAUGGGCGAAAGCCUGAUCCAGCCAUUCCGCGUGCAGGAUGAAGGCCCUCGGGUUGUAAACUGCUUUUGUACAGAACGAAAAGGUUUCUACUAAUACUAGGAGCUCAUGACGGUACUGUAAGAAUAAGCACCGGCUAACUACGUGCCAGCCGCCGCGGUAA
rnacentral:rRNA from 1 species